CCACUUUGUGAUUGAUGACUGGGGUGAAGUCGUAACAAUGUAACCGUAGGGGAUGCUGCGGUUGGUUCUGCUGCUUACCUUAAAGAAGC
rnacentral:rRNA from 1 species